rnacentral:sRNA from 1 species
UUUGAAGCAAAACGACAGCAGAAGUUUCGUGAUCUAAGAAGAUCCAUACAUCUUAGAUGCAACACUUGUGUGUCUAACAUGUCUGACGAACUAUUCGUGAAGUCAUUUCGGAUCGAUACACAAACUUUCAAACCGAUUUUGGAGAAAGAUGAUAUAUGCUUUCCCCUGGAUAUAAAGAACAUAGCGGGAAUUUUAAAAUACAAAAUUAAUUUGCUGCACUUACA